GACGAACCGUCCAAACGUUAUUCGGAAUCACUGGGCUUACAGAGUUCGUAGGCGGUCCGGUAAGUUAGGUGUGAAAUCCCUCGGCUCAACCGAGGAACUGCGCUUGAUACUGCCGGACUCGAGGGAGAUAGAGGAAAGCGGAACUGAUGGUGGAGCGGUGAAAUGCGUUGAUAUCAUCAGGAACACCGGUGGCGAAGGCGGUUCUCUGGGCCUGUACUGACGCUGAGGAGCGAAAGCGUGGGGAGCGAACAGG
rnacentral:rRNA from 1 species